GGUGCUCGCCACUUAGGACCAAUGUUUGAUUUCCUGUGCCACCCGACAGCCCUUGAGAUAGUCCUUGCUCUCUGCACUAGAGAAGAAGCCAGUGAAAAGAAAGAUGGGCAUCCUAAAAUGUAAUGUUUGCAAGCAAGCAUUUUCCCAGGAGAUAGAGUGGCCAAGGUAUUGCUUGUGUCUGACCCCCUUCUUCUGUCUGAAGCAAGAGGGCUACCCUCCACCCAGCCACUGUCUAAAGAGCUUCAUUUAAAAAGCCAGGUAGCUUAAAGGAGGUCUGGGGAGUGCUUCACAAUAGAAAAUUAAGAGGGAUUCCAGAACUGGCUGGUUUGUUUUAUUUGCCACCAAACUUCCUGCCCACAACAUGUGGCACUCAGGACAUCCAGGUGUGUGCCGCAGGGCAUCAGGGAGAUAAAUUAUGCUUAUGUGCCUGGGACAACAGCCUCAACUGGUAAAUCAAGUCUGUUCUUUUUACCCUGAUGAUUUCCUUUUUAAAAUUCAUCUUGGAGGAAGUUGUGUGACAUUUAUUUUCCACCCUGGGCUCCUAGCUCACUCAGCUUUGAAUAACAACUGGCUACCUUGAGGACUGUGAGCCCUGCUGACCGUGGGAAGUGGGAAAGGGAAAUAUUUCUGGUGAUGGCUCACCAGUUACAAUUGGCAAAGCAACCUUGAGAGGAUUAAAGUGACCCUUAGAGGAUGCAAAGACUGGCUGGAGAAAUAAUGAUGUAUAUGAGAGCAAUAGCCCUAACCAAGGUAACAUAUGAUAAAUACACAGGAGAUAUAUAGAAGAAAGCUCACUUCUGACAAGGCAGAUGUAGGAAAAAGAGGUUUGAGCUUCCCUCAGUCUCUCUUGAUUCACUGUGUGAAUGAAUCAAUCUGUAAAUGGCCCUUGAGGGAUCUCUGGAUAAGAUUUCAACAGGUACAGAGGAGAAAUUAGGGCAUAUGGUUAGAAGGGAGAAAGAUAGGGUGGGGAGGGAAAAACCCAAGAUGUGAAGAAUGGAAAACACAUAUUUUAUUUGGAGAGAGGAAGAGCUUGAGCACACACGUAGACAAGACUAUGGCGGAGGGCUCAUUUAGGGAGCUAGUGGAUGGAAAGCCUGGAAGGUAGAUUAAAUGACCCAUCUCAAGUGCCACCGACGAAGGCUGAGUUGCUGGUUUUGAGGGAAUGUUUGGGAGUCUCCUUCAUGUAUGCAUGGGUUUAAGCAAAAUGAAACCUGUUUUUAUGGAACCAUUCAUCCCUGGCUAUGCCUGGAGGAAUAGGGGUGCUGAUGCAACUAUUGACAUCAGGUGGAAUUAGGAUUUCAGGGAACAAACACAUUUUAGGAACUGCUAGGGUGGAGGCUCUGGGGUCUGUCUCAGGACUAACAUUCUCUGCUAUUUUCAGAGACUCAUACAGCUGCAAUUUUCUUAUAAUAAGAGACUCAGAGACCUUAGGAAGGAAGGCUUGGAAGAGUGCUUAACACACCACUCAGCAUCACUAUUAAGACUUGAGAAAUGAGCACUUGCACCACUUUCACUCCUGUGCUUGCCAACUCCCUGCCCAGGGCCCUCUGAUUUUGCAGAUUCUUUUCCUGGAGCCAUUCAUUAAAGCCACAGUCAAGAAUUUACCAGUCCUAUGGCCCUUGCCCCAGGGCCCUGAUCUCUGUUAGAUGGCGGCUAGCUAAGCAGUUCGGUCAUGACUUCCCUGUUCAAAUGGACAUCCCAUCUUGGUAACCACAUCCUAUCUAGGAUCUUCUGAAGAUGGUGCCUGAAUCCUAUACAGUGGCCCUAAUGGAUGGAAUUUGGAAAGUGAUGUAUUUGACCAUCCUUUACUUUUGGGUAGGGCUUGCUCUGCAAAGAGUCAAGUGAAUGUCCAAGCACAGGAAGGAAGAAAGGUUUCUGGACAGAAAACAUCAAAGCUCUUGUUCCAUUUGGUAGAGCUGACACCGUGAUGGCGCCUCCCCGCCUGUGCUAUUGUGGCUGGCAGGAGGCCUGGGUCUUCCUAGCAGCCUCCUCAAAGCUGAUUCAU
rnacentral:lncRNA from 1 species